rnacentral:misc_RNA from 1 species
GGAGAAUCCGGGUCAUCAUGACGUCCACGAUAAACUACAGUGCCACUGGAAGAAGCAUCCUCAAAAGAAGCAAGUGUGCUACUGGACAGGGAACUCUGAUCACUGAAUAGAGAAGUGGAUUGAAUUCCUCUAGGAGAUCCUCUUGGAGAUCUCACAACCACAGUUCCAGUACCACUCACUGACAACUCCUCAUCUUCAUGAGAAUAAUCUCCUUUCUCGGUGUUUGCAUCUCCGCCGUCUUUUUGGUUGAAACCCUCUGAUGAAGUAUAAUGGACAGUUCCAGAAGCAGAGGACCAAUUGCUAGCACUGUCAAGAUUUUUUCUUGAAGCAGGUUGAUUCAAUGGAACUUCUGGUUUCCUAUCUCUAACCUGCGGUGGUUUCACACUUCGGACAGUUCCAGUACUAGAUGAUCCUCCAAUGCUGAAGUCCCAUCCAGCAGUUUUUAGGGUUUUCCCCUGGCCACUGACUUUAACAGUGCCUUCAGUACCCACAUCUCUUGUCACCCUAACGGUGCCCGAUGCUUCUCCUACAGGUUUCUGUCCAUUCCUAGGAGAAUCCAUAUCAUCCUUUAUUUGAAACUUGGGGCGCUCCCUGAUUCUCUCCAACAGUCUGGGGCUUUUUCUUGCAUUCCUUAUAAAACGGUGCUUCAGGAGUUCCUUUGCACUUGGCCUCUCAGCAGGGCUCUUCUUCAAACACAGGGACACGAUUUCCUUGAGAGGACGAGAAAAGUGUUCCUCUAGCUGGGGAGGAUUUUCUCGAGGUAUGAUAAAA